rnacentral:piRNA from 1 species
UUGUUAUACCGUCUAUCUGUUUGGCUCUC